GCGCCGGUUUCCUAUCUCUCUCUUCAUCACUUUAUCUUCCUCCACCGAAAGACCUUUGGUGCUUCUCUACGCCCUCCUUUCCCUUUCCCACCAUUACUAUGUAGAUCCCCUCCGAAUCGAACCCGUCGUUUCUCGGAUCGUGUCGUUAGAGAGAAGGCGAGGCCGCGAAGCGAACAGGUUGCGUGCAAGCAAAGGAGGGGAGCCAUGGUUGUGCUACGGCGGGUGGGGAAGUACGAGGUGGGGCGGACGAUCGGAGAGGGCACCUUCGCCAAGGUCAAGUUCGCGCAGAACACGGAGACCGGCGAGAGCGUCGCCAUGAAGGUGCUUGACCGUGCCACCAUCAUCAAGCACAACAUGGUCGACCAGAUUAAGAGGGAGAUUUCUAUAAUGAAGCUGGUGAGGCAUCCUUAUGUCGUUCGCCUCCACGAGGUGUUGGCAAGCCGGACCAAGAUAUAUAUAAUCCUUGAAUUUAUUACCGGCGGCGAAUUGUUUGAUAAGAUUAUUCAUCAUGGAAAACUUAGUGAAGCUGAGUCACGUAGAUAUUUCCAGCAACUUAUUGAUGGGGUGCAGUAUUGCCACAGCAAGGGCGUCUAUCAUCGAGAUUUGAAGCCUGAAAACCUCCUCCUAGAUUCGCAAGGAAAUCUUAAAAUUUCAGAUUUUGGUCUCAGUGCCAUGCCUGUGCAGGGAGUUAGCCUUCUCCGCACUACUUGUGGAACUCCUAAUUAUGUUGCCCCAGAGGUACUCAGUCAUAAGGGCUAUAAUGGUGCCAUUGCUGAUAUCUGGUCAUGUGGGGUCAUUCUUUAUGUUUUAUUGGCAGGAUAUCUUCCAUUUGAUGAAGUUGAUUUGACUACUCUUUAUAGCAAGAUUGAGAAAGCAGAAUUUUCUUGUCCUUCGUGGUUUUCCAUCGGUGCAAAAUCCCUUCUAUGUAAAAUUCUGGAUCCUAACCCUGAGACUCGUAUGAGAAUAGAAGAGAUCAGAAAUGAUGACUGGUUCAAGAAAAAUUAUGUGCCUGUUAGUGAGGUGGAAACUGAGGAUAUUAACCUCGAUGAUGUGUUUGCUGCUUUUGAUGACCCUGAGCAGGCAAGUGAGCAAUCUAGGAAUGAGGAGUUGGGUCCGCUGAAUCUCAAUGCAUUUGAUCUUAUAAUUCUCUCACAAGGACUGAAUCUUUCAGCAUUAUUUGACCGAAGGCAGGAUUAUACAAGACACGAAACCCGCUUCCUAUCUUGCAAAUCGGCUAGAGUUGUCUUGUCAAGCAUGGAGGUUGUUGCACAAUCAAUGGGCUUUAAGACUCACAUUCGUAAUUAUAAGAUGAGGGUAGAAGGCCUCACAGCAAAUAAAGCCACUCAUCUUUCAGUUAUGAUAGAAAUCUUUGAAAUAGCUCCAUCAUUUUUAAUGGUGGAAAUUCAGAGAGCAGCAGGAGAAGCAGCAGAUUAUCUCAAGUUUAAUAAAAACUUCUGUAGCAAGCUGGAUGAUAUUAUCUGGAAGUCAGCUAUCGAGAAGAGCAAAUCGCAUAUCACCAGAAUGCCAAAACGCUGAAAUUUCAUUGUUUCAGUCAUUGCUAUAGGUGUCACAUAGUUACAUUGCAGCUGCAAAUAUUUUCGUAUGUGAUGUAACGUUUUAUUUUUAUUUUUUGUUUUUGCUCGAGAAGUGGACACACGAGGAAUACUUUAUUUUUAGAAACGGCCGAGCUCCUGUUGUUGGCAUCAGAUUUUCCAGGCAUCAGUAUCUUUUGCAGAAAUCAGUUUUAUCUUUGCAAGUGAUCCAUGAACAAAAUGGACAAUAGCAUAGCUGCUAGGGACAUGGCCAACACCUCAACACAAAGAUGAUUGUCACCUCAGUACCAUGUGGAGCAACCUGGUUGAAUGUGGCUGAUGUGAUCACGAUCUCUAGGCGGUAAGGCAUUACCGACUUUGUCGUGCCCUCAUUUCUCUGGAUUCGACGUAGUACAAUUCUAUGAAGGUCGCCGAAUAUGUGAAAUUGUGCCCGACAUCAUUGUUUGCGAAUGUAAUGUUCCAACAGUUGUAUUAUAAAUGAGUGUCUUAGGUGCA